AACAAGCAAACCGUGGAUUCCCAUGUUAACGUUUAAUUGUCCGUCUUAUAUGAAUUUUUUUUAUAAUUAGUAUUUUCAUUAUUGUUAGAUGAUAAAACAUGAUUAAUAUUUUAUAUGUGACUUAUCUUUUUAAUUUUUUUAUAACUUUUUCAAAUAAGACGAACAGUCAAAUAUUGGAAACGGAAAUCAAGGUUUGUCUUUUU
rfam:Oryza nivara chromosome 5, whole genome shotgun sequence.